GAUGAACGCUGGCGGCGUGCCUAAUACAUGCAAGUCGAGCGAACGGACGAGAAGCUUGCUUCUCUGAUGUUAGCGGCGGACGGGUGAGUAACACGUGGAUAACCUACCUAUAAGACUGGGAUAACUUCGGGAAACCGUAGCUAAUACCGGAUAAUAUUUUGAACCGCAUGGUUCAAAAGUGAAAGACGGUCUUGCUGUCACUUAUAGAUGGAUCCGCGCUGCAUUAGCUAGUUGGUAAGGUAACGGCUUACCAAGGCAACGAUGCAUAGCCGACCUGAGAGGGUGAUCGGCCACACUGGAACUGAGACACGGUCCAGACUCCUACGGGAGGCAGCAGUAGGGAAUCUUCCGCAAUGGGCGAAAGCCUGACGGAGCAACGCCGCGUGAGUGAUGAAGGUCUUCGGAUCGUAAAACUCUGUUAUUAGGGAAGAACAUAUGUGUAAGUAACUGUGCACAUCUUGACGGUACCUAAUCAGAAAGCCACGGCUAACUACGUGCCAGCAGCCGCGGUAAUACGUAGGUGGCAAGCGUUAUCCGGAAUUAUUGGGCGUAAAGCGCGCGUAGGCGGUUUUUUAAGUCUGAUGUGAAAGCCCACGGCUCAACCGUGGAGGGUCAUUGGAAACUGGAAAACUUGAGUGCAGAAGAGGAAAGUGGAAUUCCAUGUGUAGCGGUGAAAUGCGCAGAGAUAUGGAGGAACACCAGUGGCGAAGGCGACUUUCUGGUCUGUAACUGACGCUGAUGUGCGAAAGCGUGGGGAUCAAACAGGAUUAGAUACCCUGGUAGUCCACGCCGUAAACGAUGAGUGCUAAGUGUUAGGGGGUUUCCGCCCCUUAGUGCUGCAGCUAACGCAUUAAGCACUCCGCCUGGGGAGUACGACCGCAAGGUUG
rnacentral:rRNA from 1 species